rnacentral:tRNA from 1 species
GCCUUUGUGGUGUAACUGUAGAACACUCAGCUCGUAUUCGAGAGGUCCAGAUUCGAGCCCCGGCGAGGGCA